CCUACGGGAGGCAGCAGUGGGGAAUAUUGCACAAUGGGCGGAAGCCUGAUGCAGCGACGCCGCGUGAGGGAUGAAGGCCUUCGGGUUGUAAACCUCUUUCAGCAGGGACGAAGCGUGAGUGACGGUACCUGCAGAAGAAGCACCGGCUAACUACGUGCCAGCAGCCGCGGUAAUACGUAGGGUGCGAGCGUUGUCCGGAAUUACUGGGCGUAAAGAGUUCGUAGGCGGUUUGUCGCGUCGUUUGUGAAAACCCGGGGCUCAACUUCGGGCUUGCAGGCGAUACGGGCAGACUUGAGUGUUUCAGGGGAGACUGGAAUUCCUGGUGUAGCGGUGAAAUGCGCAGAUAUCAGGAGGAACACCGGUGGCGAAGGCGGGUCUCUGGGAAACAACUGACGCUGAGGAACGAAAGCGUGGGUAGCAAACAGGAUUAGAUACCCUGGUAGUCCACGCCGUAAACGGUGGGCGCUAGGUGUGGGUUCCUUCCACGGGAUCUGUGCCGUAGCUAACGCAUUAAGCGCCCGCCUGGGGAGUACGGCCGCAAGGCUAAAACUCAAAUGAAUUGACGGCUGAGACGNGCGAGCGACGACGAGGAGAG
rnacentral:rRNA from 1 species